GCCUCAAGCGAUCUGCCCACCUUGGUCUCCCAAAGUGCUGGAAUUACAGGCGUGAGCCAGCACGCCCAGUCAGCACUUCUUUAUUUGAUUAUCAGGCUUGUUAGCUUCAGGUAAGCUGUGAACUUCAGGACAAGAAAACCCCAAAUACCCACAUCCUAGUAUCCAGUACAGUGUCUCUACCUGGGAGCUGAGACAGCUUACAGGAUGGGCAGGCCGGAGACUUUUUAUUGGAACUAAGUUCAAUAGUCCCUCACGCAGGCUUUGGGGUUGGCCCUGUGGGUUGGAAAUUAGGGUAAAUUAAAUUACUCUCCCUUUAGGGGUUGGUGGAUUUUUAGGAAGCCGGGACUCUGUCAUCAUCUGAAAAUGCCCAUUUCUGAUGCUACUGCCAUUCCCUGUUACCUGAUACUCAAAGCAUCGCCCAGUGUUGGAUGGAGUUUCGGCUGCAUUCACUCAUACAUGAGCCAAAGUCGCUGAAGCCGGCAGGGAUGGGAGCCUGUAGGAGCCACUCUGACCAGUGCGGCAUUGGAGGAACCCUACUGGAGGCCCCUCACGGGAGCAGAUGGCAAGGGCGCCCAGAAACAGAGUCUUGAUAUUUGCUCAGUCUGGACUCCGACUUCUGGGCUCAAGUGAGCCAAUGGCUCAGCCUCUCACGAAACUGGGACUACAGAUGUGAGCCAUUGCACCCAGCUUAUCCUGGGAGUUAUUCAGAAUCAUAUGCUUUGGCACUACCUUGCAGUAAGAAAACUAAGGUGCUUAACCAGUUAGAAGGGCCUCGCUCCUUAUAGGGGUUUCAGAGCAGGGCCAAGAUGGUCCUGAACAAGCCAUGCUGGGACCACCCCCAGGACAAACCGUGGAGAGGUUUUGGACUCCUAAUUAUUUCAGCAAGCAGCUGUGUUCUCCUAAGAGACCCCAAUGCCCUGCACUUCGCCUAUUGUUAUUCUUCCUCCGCCCUCCAGCAGCCACAAUAGUCUUUCUCCGCAGGAAACACCACAACUCUGAGGUCCCAGAACCGCCCCAAAGCCACAGAUGGCUAUUGAGUGCUUUAAAUGGGGCGAGGCGGAGCUCAGAUGUGCUCUCACUGUAAAAUGCACACUGGAUUUUGAAGACUUUUAUGAGAAAAAAGAAUGUGCAGCAAGUCAUUAACAAUUUUCUGUGUUUGUUGAAAUAAUAACAUUUUGGAUAUAACGAGUUAA